UUCUUAAUAAUUACUAUUUUAUUCUGUAAUAAAUACAGACCUAGUUUUCAUCAAUAAAAACAUACAUACCAUUAUUAUUAUGUUUUACUAUUUAAAAACCUAAUGAUGGGACCAUGAUUAGGAGUUAGGAGUAUAACUGUGAAUUAUCACCAAAGCAUACAAGCACCCUAGUUCCUAAGUAUACUCAACUAAUGAAUAUAAACACUGAUUUAGUAAAAUCACCUGUUACUUUCAGUUUGCAUGUUUACCUUAACUUACACCAAAAAAUUACUUACUCUCUUAGGAUAUGUUUCGUAGUGAUUUUGUUAAAUAAGAUCCUCUGUUGAUAAGAUGAGAUUACUGUGGAAGUUAUUUUCUACAGUAUUUUUAAUGUUCAUGCUUAUCACUGUUUUAAUUUGCCAGCAUACGUUCACGGCCUUGUUACUUAUACAAACUCUUAACUUUUAGUUUUGAUAGAAGAAGUUCAUGUUCCAGUUAACCUCUUGCAUUAGCUCUUUCCGUACUCAUACUCUUGUAAAUCUUUUGCUUCCUUUAUCAUAUACUUGGGGUUAUUUAUUUGUUUGUUUAUUUGUCAGUUGCCCCAUCCUAUUCCAGCUUUCUUUCUUAUAUCAACCAUCUUUCAUUAACCCACCAAGCAACCAGCUUUCCUUUAUCCAUCAAAUAGAUGUAAAUUUUUUUCUGUGUAACUUAUGCUAGCAUGAUGCAGGUGGCUGCCAGAAAAUACUUUUUACUCAUCUGUCAGAAUUACUGUUGAAUUGCUGAUAAAUUUUCUGAUAGUUUAUUCUGUUAUCUUAAAAACAUGGAUAGUAAUUUUUACCCCAUCUUAUUAUUUUGCUCUUUUUAUUUUUAAAUAAAUGUUUUAUAUAUGUAUAUAAACAUAUAAGAACAUAUGAAAAAUGCUAAUUAUGAAACAACUUUUGAAUAAGUACUCAUGGCUCACCAUCCAAUUUAAGAGCUGGAGUUGUUGUUUUUACCUGUGUGUUCCUUCCUGUCUUCAGCUCUAUACCUCUCCUCUGCCUCAGAUAUCCUCUGAAUGUAUUUUAAAUCAUUCUUUCUGGAUUAUUUUGGGUUCUAAAAGAGUAUAAAUGAAGUAUAUAUUGUUAUUUUCAUUUAGUUUUGAGUUUUAUAGAAAUGUAUUACAUUAAAAAUGGCUAUAUAAUUUAUCAGCCACGUUGAGAGACUUGAGCCUAUAAGGAUUGCUAAUAAUAAUUGCAGUAGAACACAUAUAAACCAGGAAGAUUCUGGGCAAAUCAUGAAGUAUAGUUACAUAUGUAAAACUAUAUGUGGUCCUUUUCCACUUAGCUUUUUUGACUAAAUGUUAUGUUCCCAAGAUCCAUAUUUUGAAUUACAUAUAAUUUUAAUAUAUUUUUUUGAAGGCAUCUUAAUUUUCUUUCAAAAAUAUUUGCUUGUCCUUAUAAUGGUUGUUUUAAUAAUAAAACCUGGAUUUACCUGCUUUUAAUUUUUUUAAAGCUAUGAAUACUCUAUAUUCCAGAAUUCCUUAGACGAUUUUUGGUAUUGAGAUGGUUUUUGAGGUCUUACCUACCUAAACAUUGGAAAGUUAUAUGUAAAAUACUAUAUUUGUCAAUGAACUGACCCCAUUUUUCUGAAUUGCAUCAAAAAGACUUUUCUUAGUAAACUAAAUGAAAACUUUUCUGAGAUAUAAAAAUAUUUUAGUUUUUCAUUUAAAAUCCCUAAUAUGGGUAGUUCACAAUCUGAUGGUUUUCAUACAUAUAUUUAGCAUUCUAGUUGAGGAUUUUGAAAGUUUUAUUUCACUGUUUGGAUUUUGAUGCUGUAUGGAACACACACAACCCAACAAAAGAGCUUAAUUUGGAGGGUGUGGUAGCACAUGUUAUAGUGGAAAGUGAAGUCGCUCAGUCGUGUCCAACUCUUUGUGACCCCAUGCACUGUAGCUUACCAAGCAUCUCUGUCCAUGGAAUUUUCCAAGCAAUAGUACUGGAGUGGAUUGCCAUUUCUUUCUCCAGAGGAUCUUCCCAACCCAGGGAUCGAACCCGGGUCUCCCGCAUUGUAGACAGAUGCUUUACCGUCUGAGCCCCCAAGGAAGUCCUGAGUCUGGUACUCAGUCUUGUUUUGCAUAGGAUAAAGUUGUUCAGCGAACUGUGAUUCUGAUGACCUAUUAUUUAUUGUUCAGUUGCUAAGUCAUGUCUGACUUUUUGGGACCCCAUGGUCUGCAGCACUCCAGGCUUCCCUGUCCUCCACUAUCUCCAGGAGUUUGCUCAAAUUCAUAUCCAUUGAGUCGGUGAUGCCAUCCAACCACCUCAUUCUCUGCCGCUCUCUUCUCCUUUUGCCUUAUGAGGCCUAUCCUUCAUAGGACCUUCAGGGGAGGAGCUGAUUGUGAUUUUUCUCUGUUAACUUCUUGGAAAGUGGGUUUUCAAUAGAAAACUUUCAGCUUUCUUGGAAACUAUGUUUAAGUCUAUUUGUUUUGUAAACUUGUGCCAGAAAUUCUAACUGCUCAGGGCCAGGGCCUUCACUUCAUCUCAUCGUAGUGCAGCCUGUAUUACUCUGCAUGAUGCUUGGUAAAACCAUACAGCGAAGUUUAGUACAGGGAUGAAAUUACACAGCAAAAGUUCCACUUGUUUUCAGAGGCAUGAUAUCCAGGUAAAUCCAGAAUUAUCUUUUCUGAGUGUGAAGCUGUAUAGUAAUAGAAUCAUGUAAAACAUGGAAAAUAGAACAUUUCUUUAAUAUUAGUGUCAUUCUAAGAGGAAUAACCACUUGCAAAAUCUGGCAAGCAGUUUUGGCAUCUAUUUACCUUUCUGUCAGAUGGAAUUAUAAGUAACAUUUGAGCUGGAGAAACUUUCGUGAUCAUCUGAUCCCGCCUCCUUGUUUUAUUGCCACUUGGCAAGCUGCUAAGCCUCCUUGUGCCUCAGUUUCUGUGUCUAUAAAGAUAAUAACCACAUCUCACAGGGUUACUAUAAAGAUGAAAUGUGUUAAUGUAUAUAAAGCAAGCUUGCAGUAACCAUUCAGUGCAUGUUAAUUGUUGUUGUGAUUAUGGUUAUUGUUGUUAUUCAAAAUGAGAUGUAGAGACUUGUCCAUGAUCAUUACUCUCCAGAGUAGCCCAGGGGGUUUGGGCUACAAGUCUGAAUCUUACACCAGUGGUUUUCUUGUACCAUUCAGAGGACAUGUAUAUAAAGCUCCCAGUGAUGACUUGCUGAGUUUACUGAGAUUAUUCAGUAGGACCACUAGAACUAGCCAUGAAAGCAUAGUUUCACAAAGUUGAAUCCAUUUUUCUCCUAAUUUGGAAAAAAAAAGAACAAAAAAAAAAAACAGGUAGGUCAGUGGUUGCUCUUCUGAGAGGUUGAGUCUGAGAAAGUUAAGAGGAGACAGAAGACAAGCAUUUUUUUUAAACCCUUGCUUCACUCAAGAUCGUUGGCAAAUCAAUUUCUGUGUGAUGUGAUAGGCAGGCAGUCUAGCAUAAAAUUUACCAAUAGAUGAGCAGAUCAGAAUCCUGGGUUAUUUCUUACACUUUCUGCAUAUAUUUAGACAACAUCAGUCCCACCCUCUCCCUGUUCCUAGCCAGGGCUGCCACACUCACUUGAGCAAGUUGCUUGUUGGACCAGGGAUGUGGACCAGAGGAGUAAGUGGCAGUGAAAUACAGCAGCUCUCUGGGGAGACAGGGCACCCUUUUGCGAUUCACACAGAGGGGCCCCAGAGCUGUCAGCACUCUCGUCCUGGCCUCUUGGUAGUCAUCCUUGAGGCCCGAGUCCACAUGUCACCUGUUUCUCUACUCUGUUCCGUAGCCACGCCCAGGGACAUUUAAACAUGCAUUUUUAACAGAUGCUCAUCAGAAAACUUUAUGUGGUGUUAUUUUAUGGGGAUUUGUUAAAAAUCAUGCCAUAUUUUAUUGGGGAAAAAAAAACGUGGUCUUCCCCUCCCUUUAGUCUAUCUGCCCUUCUUUAAAAAAAUUUUUUUAAAUAUACUUUUUGAACUAUGUCAUAAAUAAUAAAACCACACUUUAGAGAUGAUAUAAAGUUGAUUAUUUGGGGUUUAUAUUUAACUAAAUCCAGGCAUGCUUCCUUAGAGAAUAAAUGAGCCCUUCAGAGCUGAUUUAGUAGUCUCACUUCCUUUUCCCAUCUCUAGCCCUGAUGUUAAGUUUUGUUGGUCUGUACAUUAGCCUGGAGGGCUGCAGUCCUUGGGGUCACAAAGAGCUGGACACAACUGAGAGACAGCGCACACACACACAUUAGCUUCUAAGAUAAUUUCUAGUCUGUCUACAUUUGCUUCUGAGUCUGAACCAAUGAGACAAAAAUGUCCGACAGAGAUUACAUGGUUUCUCACCCUGGGCAUGAUCCUCAGAUUGCUUUUUGAAAACAUCUGUUUGGAAUUUCCCUGUAUUUUUCUGUCUGUAGCCGUUUGCUUUCUUUUCUCCCUCACCCUUCUUCCCAUUCCCAGCACUGACUGGUUUUCCCUGAGCCUACUUCUCUCCCAUUAACUCCUGCUGUAUCUUGCUGCCUCCUCGCCAUGUGUCACAGAUUGGCUCUUUCAAUCAUUGUCUCUCCAGCAAGUCAUUGUUAAAAUGCACAGCUGUUGUGUAUCUGAUAGCUGGGGUGAGGUAAAGCCAGCAUGUUAUGGGAAGAGUCUUCCUAGCAUGGCUCUCCCUGGGUUUGUUGAAGAAGAGCAGUCAUUUUUUUCCAUCUCUGCUCUGGUAAAUGAAAUCGACAGCUAAUGAUAAGUAUCACAGAGGUGGAUAAACAAAAGCCCAGGAAAGCACCCCGAAUGGCUGACUCUGUUUCUUGCCUGUUAAACCAUUUCUCCACCCACUGCACAUUCGCCCUCCUGUCAUGCUGCCUCGCGAACAUUGUGAGUGUCAUGGGAACAAGUACUGUGAUGCGCUGGCACGACAUCGGCCCUGGCACAUCCCUAACUCAGUGGGGCUUUUCCUUCCUGCAUUCUUUUGAAAAGCAGGAUGGAGAUUUUCUGUGAUUGACUACUGGCCAGAAGAGGGCAGGAGGCCAUGGGUCAGAGUAUCCUCAGUGCUGAGCGGCUGGAAAGGAGGAAGGAGGGCAAGGGGAGAGUCGUCUUUCAUCAGUCUCUCAAGCUUGCUCUGAUCUUUUUCCAUUCGUGGCGCACCACCCCACCCCCCGCCCCCUGCCCGG